rfam:Chelonia mydas contig148635, whole genome shotgun sequence.
CUGCAGCGUAGACAUCUGGGCUCAUGCUGGAGCCCAGGCUCUGGGACCCUUCCCCCUUGCAGGGUUCCAGAGCCUGGGCUCCAGUGUGAGCCCGGACAUCUACACUGCAAUUUU